AUUGAACGCUGGCGGCAGGCCUAACACAUGCAAGUCGAACGAGUGGCGGACGGGUGAGUAAUGUCUGGGACACUGCCCGAUGGCGGGAGAUAACUACUGGAAACGGUAGCUAAUACCGCCUACCAUCGGAUGUGCCCAGAUGGGAUUAGCUAGUAGGUGGGGUAACGGCUCACCUAGGAGACGAUCCCUAGCUGGUCUGAGAGGAUGACCAGCCACACUGGACCUGAGAUACGGGCCAGACUCCUACGGGAGGCAGCAGUGGGGAAUAGUGCACAAUGGGCGCAAGCCUGAUGCAGCCAUGCCGCGUGUAUGAAGAAGGCCUUGGGGUUGUAAAGUAAUUUUAGCGGGGAGGCGUUACCCGCAGAAGAAGCACCGGCUAACGCCGUGCCAGCAGCCGCGGUAAUAC
rnacentral:rRNA from 1 species